rnacentral:rRNA from 1 species
AGCAGCCGCGGUAAUUCCAGCUCCAAUAGCGUAUAUUAAAGUUGUUGCAGUUAAAAAGCUCGUAGUUGAAUUUCGGGAUCAUCAGGUCGGUCGUGCCUCCGGUAUGUACUGGUCUCGGUGGUUCCUCCUUCUUGUAGAACCGUAAUGCCAUUAAUUUGGUGUUGCGGGAAAACAGGACUGUUACUUUGAAAAAAUUAGGGUGUUUAAAGCAGGCGAUCGCUUGAAUACAUUAGCAUGGAAUAAUGAAAUAGGACGUUCGAUCCUAUUUUGUUGGUUUCUAGGAUUGACGUAAUGAUUAAUAGGGAUAGUUGGGGGCAUUAGUAUUCAAUUGUCAGAGGUGAAAUUCUUGGAUUUAUUGAAGACUAACUACUGCGAAAGCAUUUGCCAAGGAUGUUUUCAUUAAUCAAGAACGAAAGUUGGGGGAAUCGAAGACGAUCAGAUACCGUCGUAGUCUUAACCAUAAACUAUGCCGACUAGGGAUCGGAUGAUGUUAAUUUUUUAAUGACUCAUUCGGCGCCUU